rnacentral:ncRNA from 1 species
AAUAGAUAAAUUUUUUAUGGUUUUUUAUAAUUUAUUAUGAAUUUAUUUUACAUAUAAAUUAUAGUAUUAAAUUUUAAUUAUUUUAAUAAUAAUUAAUUAAAUUAUAUAGUAAUUAAAAUUAAAAAUUUAAGAAAUUAAGAUUUAGUAAUAUUAAAAUUAAUAACUAAUUUUGUGCCAGCAGUUGCGGUUAAACAAAAGUUAAAUUAAAUUAUUUCAGUAUUUAAUUAAUAAUAAAUUAUUUAAAAAAAAUAUUAAAUUAUUAAGUGAAAUUUUAAUUUAAUUAAAUUUUAUAAAAUAUUUAUGAUUUAAUAAAUUUAAAAAUAAACUAGGAUUAGAUACCCUAUUAUUAUAAAUUUAAUUUUUAAUACUAAAAUAGUAAAUAAUAUAUUAUUGAAACUUAAAUAAUAUGGCGGUAUUUUAGUUCAUUUAGAGGAAUCUGUCUAAUAAUUGAUAAUCCACGAAUAAAUUUACUUAAUUUAUAAUUUUGUAUAUCAUUGUUAAAAAAAUAUUUUUAAAUAAAUAUAAUAUUUUAAAAUUUAUAAUAAAAAUUAAUUCAGAUCAUGAUGCAGAUUAUAAUUAAGUUUAAGAUGGAUUACAAUAAAAAUAUUUAAAUGGAAAGAAUUUUGUAAAAUUUGAUUGAAGGUGGAUUUAAAUGUAAUUUUAAUUAAUUUAUUAAAAUGAUUAAAAAUUGAAAUAUGUACAUAUUGCCCGUCACUUUCAUUUAAAAAUUGAAAUAAGUCGUAACAAAGUAGAGGUACUGGAAAGUGUUUCUAGAAUGAA